AGAAUACUGAAUGUUCUUUACUCAGAAGGAGCAGGUGUUUGAACUUCUCUGUAACCACAUUUUCCACCAUCCUUAAAUUCCUCUUACAUCUGAUCAAGAGAAGCAGUGAAGCAGAGCUGCAUAAAGGGUGCUCAUCUUCUGCCACCAAGCAUGACAUUUGGAAAGAAUAUGUUUGAAGGCUACAAAUCUGCUGAAUCAGCAAAGGGGGAUCACUGAGGUGACCCUCACUAAAGCGGAUAACCCUGCCACUUACCAUUUGUUGUCUUUACAUCUGUCACUGCCAUGUGACAUUGAGGAGGUAAUUUCAUUUCUUUGAACCAGUUUUCUUAUGCACAGAAUGAGGAGGUUGGACCAUAAACCAAGAAGUUUCAUAUAAACUCUUUUUUAUAGUGAUAUCUACUAAAAAU
rnacentral:lncRNA from 1 species